GCCCGGCUUCUGCUGUCAAGUAGCUGGGGUGGGCUCGGCCGAGGCGAGGAGGGGCGCCGGCUGGGGAGAUGCGCUCCAGGUGUUUGUAGCGGAAGCGGGAAACCUGUAGGUGAUGGUCCAGCUGUGCCACGCCGGGGCGAGCAGGAGCAGGGAACAGAUAUCCACUUUGGGUCAUUUCUGAAGCUGAAUUCAGAGCAAUCUUAAGAUGGGAGUCUGAAUCGAUUUGAUAGUUUUCAACUGUUACAUGAGUUGCAUCCCAAACCACGUUCUGCAGGACUACCUAGAUGGUAAA